UGGCAGGUCAGCAUACUGCCGUGAAUACGUUCCCGGGCCUUGUACACACCGCCCGUCACACCAUGAGAGUUGGGGAUACCCGAAGCCUGUGAGCUAACAGUAAUGAAGCAGCAGUCGAAGGUAGAAUCAAUGAUUGGGGUGAAGUCGUAACAAGGUAAC
rnacentral:rRNA from 1 species